GGUAUGUCUUCUCUCAUUGUCCUCAUCUUUGGUGUUUCCCCAGAGUUCACUGCUGACUGGAUGUACAACAUAUAUUUCAAAGUCAAGGGUGGGUGUGGUGGCUCAUGCCUAUAAUUCCAGUGCUUUGGGAGUCAGGUCAGGCAGAUCGCUCAAGACCAGGGCAAUGUGGCGAAACCCUGCUUGUAUUAAAAAUACAAGAAAAUGGGUGUUUCUGGGAGAACUGCAUGGAAUUGGUGUCGCUACUUUUGGCAUGGUGGCCUUUUCUGACCUGGCUGGGCCAAUCCUGUCACUGAACCUGCAGGAAGAUGCCAAGUUUCAAAAAGACAUGGCACAGGUUCACAAGCACAUAGCCUGGGAAAACAAACAAGAACAACUUAUUCCUGGAGUAGUGUAUGUGCACCACCUACCUAACCUACUGAACGAAACCCAGAUCCUAUUCUAUUUCUCCCAGUGUGGCACUGUUACAAGGUUCAGACUAUCCAGAAAGAAAAGGACUGGAAAUAGCAAAGGCUAUGCAAGUGUGGAGUGUGAGUCUGAGGAUAUUGCCAAGAUAGUUGCUGAAAUGAUGAACAACUACCUGUUUGGUGAAAGACUCUCGGAGUGUCAUUUUAUGCCACCUGAGAAAGUCAGAAAGAACUCUUUAAAGACUGCGAUAUUCCAUUUAAGCAGCCAUCAUAUCCAUCAGUGAAGCAUAUAACCAGAAUCGGCACUUACAGAAAAGCUGCAGAUGGAGGGGUGAUUUAAAAGAAAGAAAGAUUACUCAGGAAGAAAUUAGCUUGAAAAGGAAUUCAUUAUGAUUUUCCUCCUUUGAUUUUACAGAAAAUGGAAAGUAUUUCAAAAACAAAUCGUCAGAUGUCUACAAAAGGUCAGGUUUUAUGUAAGAAGAAGUUUUAGGCACUCCUGACUCUCCUGAGAAGACUGCGGAUACCCAGGGCCCCACACCAGUUUGCACAUCAAUGUUUUUGGAGAGAGGAAAAUCUGAAGUGGCUGUAAUGAAUAAUGAUGAUGAAGAUAAUGAAAGAGUUUUCAAAAAGCCCAUAUCCUGUGUAAAAGAAAAAAUACAAGAGACUCAAACACCUACACAUUCACAGAAAAAAAGAUGAAGAAAAAGCAUUCAGUGAUUUUCAAUGUAUAAUAUCUGCAGCAUAUCAUGAGUGAUGAGAUCUGUAUACACUGAUGUAUACAGAUCAGUGUAUACAGAUACACUGACCUUUACCUGGCAGAAAACAAUAAUGGGGCCACCGGAGGCCAGCCGAACACACAGAACUCAAGAAGCCUUCUGGAGUCAAUAUAUCCGCGGAAAGCCGAGCAGCUAAUGUCAGAUGAGAAAUGCUUUAAGGUGAGAGUCGCUCAUGUAGUCAAAGACCUUGCUGGUGACAGUGUAAGUUGUUAGGAUUCUCUGAAUCAGAAGUUAAAGCCAGCAUACUUUGACCCUGCGAUUCUACUCCUGGAACUUUUUAGAGUUCCUAAUGAGUUCAGCAGAAAAACACAAAGUGGAAGUAACCAUCUUCCUGGACAGUCUACUUAGUUUCUUUCUUGCUUUAAAUAAAAAAAAGAAGAAAUCUGGUUAUAUGUGAUUUUUACAAUUUUGUAUUCUUCUUUUUCUCUGAACAUUUUUCAUAGUAUACUCUGUAUAUUAUUGUUAAAAAAAAAAAGUUGGUACAUGAAACCCAUGGUCAUGGCUAUUAUAGAAAAGAAAAUGUAGGCCUGGCACACGUGGCUCACACUUGUAAUCCCAGCACUCUGGGAGGCCGAGGUGGGCAGAUUGCUUGAGAACAACUUGGGAAACAUGGCAAAACCCCAUCUUUGCAAAAAAUACAAGAAUACAAAAAUUAGCCAGGGGUGGUGGCAUGUGCCUGUAGUCCCAGCUACUCAGGAGACAGAGGUGGGAGGAUCGCUUAAGCCUGGGGGGUCGAGGUUGCAGUGAGCCCUGAUCACGUCACUGCCCUCCAGCCUGGGUGACAGAGUAAGAACCUAUCUCAAAAAAAAAAAAAUGGAGAUAACCAAAAAAAUGUCACCUUAGAAUUCUUUCCUGAAAUUACCAUUGAUGACAUUUCUAGACUUUUCUAUGCUUGAGUAUAUAUUUUCAAGGAGUUUAUACUGGACAAAUGGUCUUUCACUUUAUUUAUUUUGAGACAGGGUCAUGCUCUGUUGCACAGGCUGGAAUGCAGUGGCGUGAUCUUGGCUCACUGCAACCUCUACCGCCUGGGUUCAAGCUAUCAUCAUGCCUCAGACACCCUAGUAGCUGGAAUUACAGGCAUGUGCCACCACACUGGCUAAUUUUUGUAUUUUUAUGUGUGUGAGAUCCCAGGGUCCAGGUCCAGCCCAUGCUGAAGUCUGAGCGGAGUGCGUGGGUGAGCAGAAAGAACACUCCGGGGGGACAUACGCAGGUGAAAGAUAGUUUUAUUCAAUGGCAGCUCUCAUUAACAGCUUCCUUACACUAGCUCUCUUAUUAGCAGCUUACUCUUACAUUGUUCACCUGUCUCAGCAUCUUGAGCCAGCUGCCCCCACACACAGCUGCAUAGCCGGCUCUCUCUUGCCUUCAGGGUCAGCAGCUUAACUCCUUCUCUCUCUGGGCAUGAGCACGCCCAGCUGUGUCCUGGCUCCCUCCCAUCUGUCUGCAAAAUGGACAGCUUUGGCUCUCUCUUUCUCUGGGUGCCAGUGUUCUCAUCAUGUCAAGCCAUGUUGAGCCAAGCUGAGCCAAGUCCCAAAGAGCCAUGUCUCUUAUGCACAACGUCAACAGGGCAGUUAUGCCUUUUACAGACAAUAGUGGCAUAAAGCCAGGUAUGAACUUACACAAACAGGUUAUAUUACAAGUGGAGCUGUGUGCUUGCACGCCAAACUCGAGUCAUGCAGGCCUGGCUAUCUGCCUCGGCCUAUUCCUUGACCAAAGCACAUCCAUGUACCUUACAAUGUGAUUUUGCUGUGUUGGCCAGGCUGGUCUCCAACUCCUGACCUCAAGUGAUCUGUCUGCCUCAGCCUCCAAGUGCUGGGAUUACAGGCGUGAGCCACUGCAUCUGACCUGAAAUGGCGUAUUUUUGCUCAGUUAGCAACACUUCUGGGUCUUUAAUGUCUUUUCUAUGGCUAUCUGAUAUUCACUUUAUAGAGAAUUAAAGCCUGUAUUGUUGGACAUUUACGUUGUUUCCAAGUUUUCACCAUUAUAACUGUAUUUGUGUGUAUAUAUUAUAUUCUUGCCAGGCUGUAAGCUUUACUAGCAGAGAGGAAUUUUUAAAGCUUUAAAAGAACACUGAGCUGGAUCUAGCUUCUGGCUCUGUGUUUAUUGACUAGUGGUGUGCCUUGAGAAACCAGAACUCUCUGAAUUUCAGUUUUGUCUCUGUGUAAAUGAAGAAGGUUGAAAUAAAAAAAUCUCAA